rnacentral:antisense_RNA from 1 species
UCCUAUGGUCGGGCCUUGGUGGGGGUGCGUUCGCGCACGCCGGUUUCCUUGGGUUCCGGUCUGUCAACCCUGCCUUGUGCCCGGCCACCUCG